rnacentral:rRNA from 1 species
AACGUAGGAGCCUAGCGUUAUCCGAAUUCACUGGGCGUAAAGCGCGUGCAGGCGGUUCGGUAAGUUGGAUGUGAAAUCUCCUGGCUCAACUGGGAGAGGACGUUCAAGACUGUCGGACUAGAGGACGGUAGAGGAAGGUAGAAUUCCCGGUGUAGUGGUGAAAUGCGUAGAUAUCGGGAGGAACACCAGUGGCGAUGGCGACUACCUGGCCCAUUCUUGACGCUGAGGCGCGAAAGCUAGGGGAGCGAACGGG